rnacentral:lncRNA from 1 species
AUGUGUUUAUACCCCGGUCACAAGAGGAUUCAGUCCGAGAGCAGCAGCAGGGCUCAGGCUGCGUCUGGAUCUGCAAGCUCCUACCGACGUACACAGCUUCCAGAAUCCUCAGACCCCUCCCCGCGUGGAGCCACGCGGAUCUCUGUGUACUGGGCGAACCCCGCCUGCGCCCAGACCCCAGCCUCCGGCCUGCCCGCCUGCCGCAGCGGGAAGCCCUGGGCACAGGGGGUGCUCGAGAAGCCACCUGUGGCUGCUCCAACAGUCACCCCUCGGCCCUCAAGGUGCGGGGUCCCUCUGCUCCCAGUCAGCCUGCAGAGCCGGGGCGGCCAACUGGCUCACAGUGGUCCCCGGGGGUGGGGCACAGGGCUGGGAAUAAAUGGAAACAGGGAGCCAUGUGCCAGCCCCGGUCGACCUUGUGCCGUGUGACCCUGGGCAGGUGCACAGCCUUUCCUGGACCUCCACGAACCUUGCGCACACAGGAUGCACACAGUACCCUCCCGCCUCCGCAGACCUGCACCUGGACUUGGGUUUUCUUUGGGGGUUUUGGUUCCCACCAUGGGCCCGGGUGCUCAGUGAGGCCUUGAUAUCACAUUCAGAGGGUCCUUGGGACCCCAGGGCCUCCCAGCUCCUCGGAGGAGAGCUUGCUUUCCAAGGAGGGGAAACUGAGUCUUUUGGUUGUUGAUUUUUAAAUAUUUUUUUUUAUUUGAAAGGCAGAGAGACAGAAGAACAGACAAAGAGAGAUCUCUCAUCCAUUGGUUCACAUCCCAAAAAGUCCUCAACAGCCAGGGCUGGGCCAGGACAAAGUCAGGAGUGGGAAUUCAGUCCAGGUUUCUCAUGUGGGUCGCAGGGACCCAAAUACUCAAGCCACCACCUGCUGCCUCCCAGGGUACGCAUGAGCUGGAAACCAGAAUUGGGAGCCAGAGCUGGGACUUGAACCCAGGAACCCAGGCACCCGACAGGGAAUGCAGGCCUCCCAAGUGAUGGCUGGUGGUUUACCCGCUGUGCCCAAUGCCUGCCCCAGGAGCUGGGGCUCCCUGGUGUUUCGUCCCUACCCCGCAAGCUCGCCACCCCUACCCUCCCAGUGGCAGAUCUUGCUGGUGAGGUGACUUAAUGCAGGCCACUCCCCCUUCCCUCCUGCCAGGCCUGGAGAGCUCCAGCCCCCAGGGAAGCGGUCUGUGACCUAGGCUCGGUUAGCACCCACGGGACUCAGCAGAAAUCCAGGCAGGCCCGUCAGCCCCAGCUCGCCGCACCCGGCCAAGGACUCUGGCAAGUGACCAGUGCCCCUGAGCCUUUGUUUUGCCGCUGCUCAUUGGGGACUCAGCACUGUGAAUGCAGCGCCUGGCACAGCCCUAGGAGCUGCGCUCACCUGUGGGACAGACCUGCCCUCUGCGAACGACCAGGUGGACUAGGGCUCAGGUGUCACCGG